rnacentral:rRNA from 1 species
UUAGAUGUCCGGGGCUGCACGCGCGCUACAAUGGAAGAAUCAGCUGGCCUCUCCAUUGCCGAAAGGCAUUGGUAAACCGUUGAAACUCUUCCGUGACCGGGAUAGGGAAUUGUAAUUAUUUCCCUUGAACGAGGAAUUCCUAGUAAGUGUGAGUCAUCAGCUCACGCUGAUUACGUCCCUGCCAUUUGUACACACCGCCCGUCGCUGUCCGGGACUGAGCUGUCUCGAGAGGACUGCGGACUGCUGUAUCGAGGCCUUCGGGUCGCGGUAUGGCGGGAAACAGUUCAAUCGCAAUGGCUUGAACCGGGUAAAAGUCGUAACAAGGUAUCUGUAGGUGAACCUGCAGAUGGAUCAUCGUCGA